rnacentral:piRNA from 1 species
UCUGUGGACCUCUGACAGCCUCAGCUGCCA